rnacentral:lncRNA from 1 species
CAUGCCUGUUUCUCGGGAGUGCGCGGCGACGCAGAGCAGGUGCAUGGCAGGAGCAGCAGCUCUGCCCAGGCCCCUGUCAUGUGCCGGGCACCCCUCCAAGGGCCUUCCCCAGGGUUACCCAGCUGAUCCCACGAGAGUGCCAGGCGAGGGGUUCUAUCUUUAUCCUGCUUUACAGAUCAAGACAUUGAAGCACAGAGAAACUGGGGAACUUGCCCAAGGUCUCAGAGCUCGUGAGCGGCGGCGUCUAGAUUCGACCCCGAGCCCACUGGGGUGUCUUCAUCUGCGGCCCCCACUGCAGCCAGACCUCUCCUCCAGCGUGUCACCGACACAGGCCGCCUUCUCCCCUUGUUUCAGCCCUGCGGGACGAGAGGCCAUCAGUUCCGGCGAGCAAGCUCCUGCGCAGCCCCACUUCCCGCCCGUGCAGGGAGUUUCCUUGUUCCUGCAUCCAGGCCGAAAGCAGGGCGUGCCACACAGAGUAAAGGUGAGUGGAGGCCUGUGGGGCUGAGUGACAUCUGACAAUGUCUUCCUGGUCAACCUGCGAAACAGCAUAAAGAAACCGUGAAAUUUGGCUUCUGCUCCGCCUGGGGGCUCUUGGUCGGCAGCCACGGAAUUGUCAGCCUCUUAGAAAGUGUCUAUCUGCUCUAGAAAAGCCAUGGGAACACAAAAGAGACACACAGCUCCAACCUGGAGCCAUCUCAGAUCAGAGCCAGC